rnacentral:rRNA from 1 species
UGGGGAAUAUUGGACAAUGGGCGAAAGCCUGAUCCAGCCAUGCCGCGUGUGUGAAGAGGGUCUUCGGAUUGUAAAGCACUUUAAGUUGGGAGGAAGGGCAGUAAGCGAAUACCUUGCUGUUUUGACGUUACCGACAGAAUAAGCACCGGCUAACUCUGUGCCAGCAGCCGCGGUAAUACAGAGGGUGCAAGCGUUAAUCGGAAUUACUGGGCGUAAAGCGCGCGUAGGUGGUUCGUUAAGUUGAAUGUGAAAGCCCCGGGCUCAACCUGGGAACUGCAUCCAGAUCUGGCGAGCUAGAGUAGGGCAGAGGGUGGUGGAAUUUCCUGUGUAGCGGUGAAAUGCGUAGAUAUAGGAAGGAACACCAGUGGCGAAGGCGACCACCUGGGCUCAUACUGAAACUGAGGUGCGAAAGCGUGGGGAGCAAACAGG